rnacentral:misc_RNA from 1 species
GAUGAAGAACGCAGUGAAAUGCGAUAAGUAGUGUGAAUUGCAGAAUUCAGUGAAUCAUCGAAUCUUUGAACGCACAUUGCGCCCCUUGGUAUCCCGAGGGGCAUGCCUGUUCGAGCGUCAUUUCACCACUCAAGCCUGGCUUGGUGUUGGGCGACGUCCUCUUUGGGGACGCGCCUCGAAACGCUCGGCGGCGUGGCACCGGCUUUAAGCGUAGCAGAAUCUUUCGCUUUGGAAGUCGGGGCCCCGUCUGCCGGAAGACCUGCUCGCAAGGUUGACCUCGGAUCAGGCAGGGAUACCCGCUAAACUUAAGCAUAUCAAUAAGCGGAGGA